AAGACCUUGCGCUUUUGGAGCGGCCGAUGCCUGAUUAGCUUGUUGGUAAGGUAAAAGCUUACCAAGGCUUCGAUCAGUAGCUGGUCUGAGAGGACGGCCAGCCACACUGGGACUGAGACACGGCCCAGACUCCUACGGGAGGCAGCAGUGGGGAAUUUUGGACAAUGGGGGCAACCCUGAUCCAGCCAUGCCGCGUGAGUGAAGAAGGCCUUCGGGUUGUAAAGCUCUUUCAGCCGGAACGAAACGGUUACGGUUAAUACCCGUGACUACUGACGGUACCGGAAGAAGAAGCACCGGCUAACUACGUGCCAGCAGCCGCGGUAAUACGUAGGGUGCGAGCGUUAAUCGGAAUUACUGGGCGUAAAGCGUGCGCAGGUGGGUUUGUAAGUCAGAUGUGAAGGCCCCGGGCUCAACCUGGGAACU
rnacentral:rRNA from 1 species